CAUUAAAAAGCUUAAAGUAAGCAGGGAUCUUUUAAAUCUCAGAUAUUAUCGUAACAAAUAGUUUUAGUGG
rnacentral:tRNA from 1 species